CAGCAGUGGGGAAUAUUGCACAAUGGGCGCAAGCCUGAUGCAGCCAUGCCGCGUGUAUGAAGAAGGCCUUCGGGUUGUAAAGUACUUUCAGCAGUGAGGAAGGUGGGUAUGUUAAUAGCAUAUUCAUUUGACGUUAGCUGCAGAAGAAGCACCGGCUAACUCCGUGCCAGCAGCCGCGGUAAUACGGAGGGUGCGAGCGUUAAUCGGAAUUACUGGGCGUAAAGCGCAUGCAGGUGGUUUGUUAAGUCAGAUGUGAAAGCCCGGGGCUCAACCUCGGAAUUGCAUUUGAAACUGGACAAACUAGAGUACUGUAGAGGGGGUAGAAUUUCAGGUGUAGCGGUGAAAUGCGUAGAGAUCUGAAGGAAUACCGGUGGCGAAGGCGGCCCCCUGGACAGAUACUGACACUCAGAUGCGAAAGCGUGGGGAGCAAACAGGAUUAGAUACCCUGGUAG
rnacentral:rRNA from 1 species